UACGGGGGGGGCAAGCGUUGUUCGGAAUUACUGGGCGUAAAGGGCUCGUAGGCGGCCAACUAAGUCGGAUGUGAAAUCCCCAGGCUUAACCUGGGAACUGCAUCCGAUACUGGAUGGCUUGAAUCCGGGAGAGGGAUGCAGAAUUCCAGGUGUAGCGGUGAAAUGCGUAGAUAUCUGGAGGAAUACCGGUGGCGAAGGCGGCGAUCUGGCCCAACAUUGACACUCAGACCCGAAAGUGCGGGGAUCGAAACAAGGAGU
rnacentral:rRNA from 1 species